GGUUGUGGCUCAGUGGUAGAGCGCUUGCCUCACAUGUAUGAGACCCUGGGUUCAAUCCUCAGCACCA
rnacentral:tRNA from 1 species